UACAUAGGUCUCAAGCGUUGUUCGGAUUCAUUGGGCGUAAAGGGUGCGUAGGUGGCGCCGUAAGUCGGGUGUGAAAUUUCGGAGCUUAACUCCGAAACUGCAUUCGAUACUGCGGUGCUUGAGGACUGGAGAGGAGACUGGAAUUCAUGGUGUAGCAGUGAAAUGCGUAGAGAUCAUGAGGAAGACCAGUGGCGAAGGCGGGUCUCUGGACAGUUCCUGACACUGAGGCACGAAGGCCAGGGGAGCAAACGGG
rnacentral:rRNA from 1 species